UCGCCAGCUAGCCGCCUAAUCUCGGUGGCUCCCAUUAAUCGCCAACGGAAUCUCUCUUUCCCUGUUCCCUUUCCCUUGGAAAUACCAGUCCCCGACUCCGGUCUCCAGCCACCGGCUCGAAGAAGAGAAAACUGCGAGUCAGGAAAGCAAGCAGAUCUUAUUAUACUCGUAGAUCUCUGUCCAACCGUUCUUGAUCUCAGGGAAUAGGGUUCUGCGCCCCCGAUCUGGAUUGGCUCUAGGGGAAUCCGAGCCUUCGGAUCCAUCGAUCCGCAGCCGCCAUGGGCAUCCUCUUCACCCGGAUGCUCUCUUCCCUAUUCGGCAACCGGGAGGCUCGGAUCCUCGUUCUUGGCCUUGACAAUGCCGGAAAAACCACCAUCCUUUAUCGGCUGCAGAUGGGGGAAGUAGUUUCCACGAUCCCAACGAUCGGAUUCAAUGUGGAGACGGUGCAAUACAAUAAUAUUAAGCUCCAAGUUUGGGAUCUAGGUGGGCAGACAAGUAUCAGGCCCUAUUGGAGAUGCUACUUUCCAAACACUCGAGCCAUUAUAUAUGUUGUUGAUUCAAGUGACACUGAUAGACUGGUGACAGCUAAGGAUGAAUUUCAUGCUAUCCUAGAGGAGGAAGAGCUAAAAGGUGCAGUUGUCCUCGUAUAUGCAAACAAGCAGGUAUAUCAGGAUGGAUCAAGAUAGGUUAAGAAAAGCCAAUUCCAAUUCCAGCCUAAUAUUCCAUCGGGCCUAAGAAACCAGGCCGAACCCAGGCAGGGCACAGAUCGAGUAGGGCCAGGAUCUCCCUGGCGCACUUGAUGAUGCUGCAGUAACCGAAUCCCUGGAACUUCAUAAGAUAAAAAACCGGCAGUGGGCCAUCUUUAAAACUUCAGCUAUAAAAGGAGAAGGGCUAUUUGAGGGCUUAGAUUGGCUCAGUAACACUCUCAAGUCCGGAGGCUAAUUUGUGGUGCAAGGGUGUACGUCUCUCUCAAGCCCAAAAGUGAGGCUGGAUAGAAUUAUAAAUCUUGUGAAAGGACGCAAGAAGAUGAUCUUGGUUCUUCAUGCCAUGAUGGAAAAUCUCGCUGAGAUGUCUUAUAACCAAUGCUUUUUCUCACACAUGUUUGCUUGUACAAUGGUGGUUGAGUUGGAAUAUAUGUCAUUGGGACGCUAAGGACUUUCAGCAGCUGUAGAAUGGGAGCAAUUAUUGUCUGAGGGUAUAAAAUUGUUUUACAGGAUUGCCAUUGAUCAUCGAUUAUUAAUGUUCUACUUAUCUAUGGAUUAGACAAAUAACAGUGAUUCCAUUUUUAAUUAGUGUUUCCAAA